UUGUGUCUGUUGUGGGUUGAACCGUAUCCUCCCCAAAUUCAUAUGUUGAGGCUGACUCCCAGUACCUCAGAAUGUGACAGUAUUUGGAGAUGGGAUCUUUAAAGAGGUGAUUAAGUUAAACAGAGGCCAUCAGGGUGGGCCCUAAUCCAAUCUGACUGGUGUCCUUAUAAAAAGAGGAAAUUCAGGCAGGUGAGGAGACACCAGGGACAUGUGAACACAGAGGGAACACCACAUGAGGACAAAGGGAGAAGGAGGCCAUCAGCAAGCCAGGAGAGAGCCUCAGAAGAAACCAACCCUGCUGACACCUUGACCAUGGCCUUCCAGCCUCCAGAACUGAAGGACAAUGUUACAGUCAACUGAUUCCCCAUGGAUGACAGCAGCUAUCUGUUAUAAAGACAAACAAUCCAAUUAGGACCGGCGUAGUUAAUGUAGGAUCCUACAGAAUGAAACGAGCUACUAGAUUGGCUUGGAAAAAUGCUCUCUGCCAGGUCACUUCCUGUCUUCUGUAAGAGGCAUCCACGUAAAAGACGUCUUUCGGAAUCCAGUAUAAGACACACUUUUGUUUCUUCUCAGGAAAAGGUGUGUUUACUUUUUUCCUGGUGUUGAAAAAUACAUACUUGCUUUUCAUUUGGCUGUCACGAUCUUAGAGACAAACUUAAAGAUCAUUUCUAUCCAUUGAGUAGCCCAUUAUGGCCAAUGUUUUGUGUUCCUUACUUGGUCUUAACAUUCCUCCUGUUAUUUCUAUUGUUUACCUGAAUCCAAUUAUUGUCUAUUUUAUGAUUUUUUUGACUUCUACUUACAAGCUGUUUUAAAUUCUUUAUGAGAUGAGGCAGGCAAUAAAUACAUACAUAUAUAUAUAUAUAUAUAUAUAUAUAUAUAUAAAUAAUUUAGCAAAUGUAGAAAAUGGAUGAUAUUUCAUCCUGUGAAUUAAAUAAAAAAGAAAUCUUGUAACACUUAUAGGAGAUGGUAGAACAGCCUAUCAAAUAAGGUGUAUCAGUUAUGUAACAAACCACUCCAACAUGUAGUGGCUUAAAAUAACAACCAUUUUAUUAUUGCUCAUGAGUCUGCGUUAGCCAAGCAGUUCUGCGGUCAGCUGGUGGGUCAGCUAGGGUUCAAUGGUCUAAGGUGACUUCCUUUGUGAGAUGGCGGUUGUCAGGCUGCUUGGGCUAGUGGGCCUCAGCUGGGUGACUUGUCUCAGCUUUGCUUGAUCUCCUAUACUUCAGGAGACUAGCUUGUACUUUUUCAUGGGUGGUCUCAGGGCAGCAAGAGAUGAUAAACGACAUUGAGUAAGCACGUUUCUUGCCUCUGCCUAUGUCACAUUUGCUAAUAUCCAUUUGGCCAAAGCAAAUUAUGUAGCCAAGGUGCGACUUAAGUGGUGGGGAAAUAGAUUUCACUUCUUUAUGGGAACAAUGGCUAUGUCACAUUGCAAAGGGGCAAGAAUACCAACAUGAAAAUAAUUUGUGGCCAGUUGUAACCCACCACACAAGUAUAGAUUAAAUAAAGACUAAUGGGUCUUUAAUAAAGAACAAAUGGGAAUGAGUCAUUAGUGUUUAUUGAGCACCUGCUGUGUGCAAAGUCGUGCACAUAGAGCAUUAGGUUUAGGGGAAGAAGGUUGUUUCAACUACACAAUUUGAGAGUUAGUGACAGAGCAUUUUCUGUGACAUUGUCUAGGUUCCAUGUGUCUGUUUUAUAAAUUCAUUAACUCCAGUUCCCCCAUCUCUAUCUCAAGAUCAGCCUUGGCAUCUGGGCAACUGAGAGCUGCCAGAAGUUACAUAGUUGGAGUGUCAGGCUGUGAAGCUUUCAGGAUGCUAUAAAUAAAAGAAAUCUGUUAUGGUUUCAGGAAGUUGCAGCUAUGGUUUUGCUUUGUGGAUGAUUGAAGGACCUGCCAAUCUAGGGAUGCAGGAAAUUAAAAUCCACCGUGAGCAUUUAUAGUCUUAUCCUCCUUUGUGAGUUAAGGAUCAAGGAAUUAUAGGAUCUCAGAAAUGGAAAGAAUGUUGAAAGGUCCUAGGGUCCUGUCCUGUUGCCUGUUUGGUUUUCUGACUCCCUCUUAAGUACCUGUUUCUUCAAGGUGGACAGCACGCCCCUGGCUCAGGCUCCCAGUUCUGGUUCCUGACUCAGCUGUCUCUCCCAGACUUUGAAACUGCGAGCACUACCACUCCUUCCAGACCAUUUCUGGGGUUCUCCCCGCCUUGAAUAGGAUGGACCUGAGGGCUCUGCUGAUCAAGUCUUAGUGAAUGAGGGAGGAGGAAGAGAGGGAAGGAAAGAUCAUCUUUCCCUCUUCUACUGGGUCAGCCAGGGAGAACACCAGAUUCUGAUCCAACACUUACUGAGCACUUAUUCUGCGUCAGAAACUAUGCCAGACAAUUCCACGUAUCAUCUCCUAAUUUAAUUCUAAGGAAUCUCUGGCCAAGAUCAAGUGGAAAUUCCAGACACUAAGCUUGUCACUCUCAGACUCCCAUACAAGGAAAAAAAAAAUUAAGAAAUCAGUUGCUCCCAACACCUCCCAAUUUAAAACAAUUAAAAAUGCCAGCUUUUUCUCUUCCGGCCCCUUGGAUUCCUUCUUCUGGGGUGGGGUGGGGAGGUCUUUGCAUUCUCUCUUGGGGUGAAGAGGGAAGAGGUAAGCUGGGUAUAAACUGUGAUAACUAUGAACCAGCCUUCCUCAGGCUGUAUUCAAUGUGUAUGAACAAAUCGAAACGAGGCUGUUCAUUCAGACACAGAAACCUUUAUGGAUGAAUAUUCACAACCCAUUGACGAGCCCCAUACCCUCAUCCAAAGAUAAGUGCCAAGUUUUUCCCUUAAUUAUACUCUGCACAAAAUAAGAUAUGUAGAAGAAGAGAAUGCAUUUUGAAUUUCUAUUCACUCUCAUCCCUUCUUCUAAUUACACAAAGCAUCUUUUAUAUAGGAAAUCCAGAGACAAUUUUCUGCUUGAGAGUGAGGGCAGACUUUCUUUUGCAAGUCAAUAGUGCAGUUGUUAUGUUGUCAGGUAGAGAUAAAAUGACAUUGUGUAGCAACCCAUUUCUUUACUCUGUGCCUGAGAACUUCUACGUGUCAUAUCGCUUCAAAAAUUUAAAUAGGGAGCUAUGUUCAUUUGGAUGGAGUUCAUGAGUUAUAGGGAGAGGGUGUGUGAUGUCAAUGAUGUAGAUUAAUGGAAAUUCUCUAGAAGGAAGGCCCCCACUAGCCCACUGAGUAGCUGAGUGACAUACCCUCGGUGCCUGUGACUGUCAUUGCUGCCCUGGCGGUGGAUGCUCUUAAACACCAGACCAAGUUUCUGGGAGCAGUGGGGGAAGGAGGGGGUCAUGCGAGCAAAAUGAGAGAGCAUCUUGAUUAAAGCACCAACAGCAGGUAAGAGAGAGCCAGAAAACAACGACAGUGGGCUGAUGCUGAAAAUCACAGGGCAUGGACGUGAAGAAAUGGACCCUGGGGAAGGGGCAAGGAAGAUGAAAGGGUUGCUGGAUGAGGCUCCAGUUGCAUCCUGCAUGGUUAGGGCCACCAGUACUUGGAGGGCCACUUGGUUAUUUUAUCACUACUUUAGUACAUCCUUUACUUUGCUCAGUUUUGAAAUGAUCAUUAAUUGACUAUUGCCUUUAUCUUUAGAAUUCAAACAUCCAUAAACUACCUCUGGGCUGAAGAGUUAGUGAUCUGUAAUAGGAGCACUUAAAUAACACCCAAAGGAUUGUUUCAGAAGGAUUUGAUUAAUUGCUUUAUAAUGAGGAAUAACAGCCCAGAGAUCUAUUUUGUUCACAGGUUUUACCACCACCUGUGGGAGUGUUUGUGAGGCGGAGCUGUCACUCUGGGGAGCCGCCAGAGGGAGGGCUGAGUUGGGGCCUGUGAGAAACCCUGGAGUCAUCCAUGACUCUUCCCUUUCCUUCACACCCCAAAUCCAAACUCUUGGCAAAUCCCUUUGCUCUGGCCUCAAAUACAUGCAGACUCUGACCACUUUCUCCUCAUUUCCAGGGCUGCCACCCUGGCCCAAGCCAAAGCCACCACCUGGAGUUUUGGGAGAACCUCCCAAGUGGUGCUGCUUUCUGCUCUCUCUCUGCUCGUUUCACUAGUAUAGAGCCAGUGUGGUUGCUUUAAAACAAGAGCGAAAUCACGCCAUGUCUCCGUUCAAAGCCCUCCAAUGGCUUAUUGUCCCAAGUCCCUAUGGUGGCCGAGCAGCCGAUACGAGUCGAGCCUCUACUUCUCUCUGACAGCCUCCAGUCCUCUCCCCUCCCUUCCUCCACUCUAGCCACGCCACGCCGACCCGGUAGUUCCUUAAGCAUACCAGGUGGGCUCGGCUUUGGGGCUGUUUCACACGCAGCCCCCCUUCCUGGCAUCUCUCUGCACAGAUCUCCACGUGGCUGCCUCCCCUUCUUUAGGGGUUUGUUCCAAGAUCACUUUCUCGGUGGGUCUGCUUCUCUCCAGGACCAAGUAGGGUUCCUUUCAGGCAAAUCCUACUGUGGACAAGAAAAGAAACUUGGAAUCUAUUUUAGGUUCUGGAAAGUGAUCGAAGACAGGUAGAUACUGAAGAGAGACAAUACUUGGAAGAAGAAAAGCAUUGAGCGAACUGCUCGUUUUUAGAGGUUUUGAUCGGAGGGCAGUCCUCACUGUGCGUGUGUAGAGUAACUAAGUCUCUGAAAGAAAGCCCACAGUCUUUGUGGUUUUGAGCAACCACAGUUAUUUUGGGGAAUCCCAGAAAAACGACAGCAACAACAAAGGAGCCAGAGAAGGAGAGCUCAAAAUUCUGUGAAUAAGCUCUGUCGAAAUCUAACAGGCCUCUGAACCGUGCCAGCGCGGGGCAGGCUGCCAGCAGCCCCCUCAACUCUGUGAGAACUGAACUGAGGCUCGAGCUGCACACAGCCCGAGUGGACUACCUGCCUAAAAGCGAAUCAAGGGGUUCAGCUCUCGGAUAGCUUUCCAUCCCUUCCCUUGUGGUUUGACAGAAGUCUGAAUAAUUGAACUCACUUCUUAAGAUGCUUUGAAACUUCUAAUUGAGAGUGGAGAUAGAUUGAUGAUUAGGAGCUUAGUCAUUCCAAAAUAAUCCUCACAGAAGAAAAAUGAGGAAAUAAUGAGAUUCACUUGAAAAAUGUGUGACUCUCUUAAAUGCCA
ensembl:lncRNA